AACGAACGCUGGCGGCAUGCCUAACACAUGCAAGUCGAACGAAGCCUUCGGGCUUAGUGGCGCACGGGUGCGUAACGCGUGGGAAUCUGCCCUUGGGUUCGGAAUAACAGUUAGAAAUGACUGCUAAUACCGGAUGAUGUCUUCGGACCAAAGAUUUAUCGCCCAAGGAUGAGCCCGCGUAGGAUUAGGUAGUUGGUGGGGUAAUGGCCCACCAAGCCGACGAUCCUUAGCUGGUCCGAGAGGAUGAUCAGCCACACUGGGACUGAGACACGGCCCAGACUCCUACGGGAGGCAGCAGUGGGGAAUAUUGGACAAUGGGCGAAAGCCUGAUCCAGCAAUGCCGCGUGGGUGAUGAAGGCCUUAGGGUUGUAAAGCUCUUUUACCAGGGAUGAUAAUGACAGUACCUGGAGAAUAAGCUCCGGCUAACUCCGUGCCAGCAGCCGCCGUAAGAC
rnacentral:rRNA from 1 species